ACGAGCGGAAGUGUUAUUGUAGCCAUUUCGACCGUGCCACAACGAUGCCGACAGCUCUCUUUGCCACCCCUACAACGUGCUUGUUCAAGCAGCUCCUUUUCUUUCAGGUUUUGUGCUUAGAAAGAGUGACAUGAUGCAGGAUGGAGUUGCGAGGAGUUCCCGGACACGGUCAGAGAUGGCUGGAACAGUCGGAUGGAUUUGCAAUCAUGCAAUAAAUGCCCACAUAAGACGCCAUGGUCAAAUGGUUGGAGAUCGUUGAGAGUUUGCAGCUAUUGAUGAAAGUUGUUUCCUUAAUAAAAGCAAGUAUCACCACAGAAGGGCCGGUGCAACAUGGCGACGGAAAAAGUGGGUAUUAAGAAUAUUAGGAGUAGGUGACCGCCAGAAACAUCCUGUCUUGUGGCUGGUGUGGUUAAACAAGUGCGUCCGGGAACCACCGUCAUCAGUGACCAAUGGGGCACUUACAGGAGUGCAUUGACUGCGACAGGCUACAGGCACUUCACAGUGAACCACUGUCAGUAGUUUGCGGAUCCAAACACCUUGCGCGCCUCCCAGUAUGUCAACCCCAGCUUUCUCUGUGGACCAUGCAACUUGGACUUUCCGAGUUUCAUAUAGGACAAUGCAUCUUGCUCUGCAUCUGUAAACCAUGGAUUCAUCUUUUGGACAUUUUCAGGAGAAUGGCUGUGUGUGUGUGUGCGUGUG